UGGAAGUAAAAGUCGUAACAAGGUCUCCGUUGGUGAACCAGCGGAGGGAUCAUUACAGAGUUGAAAAACUCCCAAAACCACCUGUGAACAUACCUCAGUCGUUGCUUCGGCGGGCGGCUCCCAGGGGAGGAGCCGUAGCCCCGGGAAGGGGCGCCCGCCGGGGGACCAACCCAAACUAUGUUAAUAUUCAGUGGCAUCUGAGUCGGUACGGAAUAAGUCAAAACUUUCAACAACGGAUCUCUUGGCUCUGGCAUCGAUGAAGAACGCAGCGAAAUGCGAUACGUAAUGCGAAUUGCAGAAUCCAGUGAGUCAUCGAAUCUUUGAACGCACAUUGCGCCCGCCAGCAUUCUGGCGGGCAUGCCUGUCCGAGCGUCAUUUCCACCCUCGAGCCCCCGGGCUCGGUGUUGGGGCUUCCCUACGGCUGCCGUAGGCCCCGAAAUACAGUGGCGGACCUUCCGGCACUCCGGGCGCAGUAGUUACAUCUCGCCUUCUGGAGGAGCCGGGCGGGCCUCUGCCUAGACACCAACCCCGCCCCCGCGGCGGACGCUAUGGUUGACCUCGGAUCAGGUAGGAAUACCCGCUGAACUUAAGCAUAUCAAUAAGCGGAGGA
rnacentral:rRNA from 1 species